UCCGGGGUAGGUGGUAACCUUUAUCUAAGGCAGUCGCCGGUGAGGAAGUAGGUCAGAAUACAUAGUUGUAAAAACCCGGACUUGCUGGAGAUGAAGCUUCUUACUUAAUAUAAUUAGGAACAGGGCUCAAAGAAAGCCAGGAAGCUUGAGACGAUACUUCUCUUCUACCAGAACAGGACAUUCUACACCACAAGCACGGUCAAGCGCCAAUAACCUAGACAACAACACUCAAACUAGGAUUACAAAAAAACCUCUGCGC
rnacentral:lncRNA from 1 species